rnacentral:rRNA from 1 species
UGGGGAAUAUUGCACAAUGGGGGAAACCCUGAUGCAGCGACGCCGCGUGAAGGAUGAAGUAUUUCGGUAUGUAAACUUCUAUCAGCAGGGAAGAAAAUGACGGUACCUGACUAAGAAGCCCCGGCUAACUACGUGCCAGCAGCCGCGGUAAUACGUAGGGGGCAAGCGUUAUCCGGAUUUACUGGGUGUAAAGGGAGCGUAGACGGCUAUGCAAGUCUGGUGUGAAAACCCGGGGCUCAACCCCGGGACUGCAUUGGAAACUGUGUGGCUUGAGUGUCGGAGAGGUAAGUGGAAUUCCUAGUGUAGCGGUGAAAUGCGUAGAUAUUAGGAGGAACACCAGUGGCGAAGGCGGCUUACUGGACGAUGACUGACGUUGAGGCUCGAAAGCGUGGGGAGCAAACAGGAUUAGAUACCCUGGUAGUCCACGCCGUAAACGAUGUAUACUAGGUGUCGGGUGGCAAAGCCAUCCGGUGCCGCAGCAAACGCAAUAAGUAUACCUACCU